UUUUCUGAAUUGAUUCAUCUUUCAAACCUUUACCAGUCAAAUGAAUAAUCUGAUAAUUGUGUAAUAAAGCAUCUAAGUUUUCGCGAAUGGUGUCGUUUAAUUUUUUACUUCCUAAACUACCUCCCAUGACAAGUAAAACUUUUUUAUGGGUUGCAAAGCCAGUUAAUUUAUAGCC
rnacentral:ncRNA from 1 species